CCUACGGGAGGCAGCAGUGAGGAAUAUUGGUCAAUGGACGAGAGUCUGAACCAGCCAAGCCGCGUGAAGGAAGACUGCCCUAUGGGUUGUAAACUUCUUUUAUAUGGGAAUAAAACAGGAUAAGCAUACCCUCUUGUAUGUACCAUACGAAUAAGGAUCGGCUAACUCCGUGCCAGCAGCCGCGGUAAUACGGAGGAUCCGAGCGUUAUCCGGAUUUAUUGGGUUGAAAGGGUGCGUAGGUGGUGUGUUAAGUCAGAGGUGAAAGCCAGCGGCUCAACUGUGGCAUUGCAGCUGAAACUGGCAGUCUAGAGUACAGUAGAGGUAGGCGGAAUGCGUGGUGUAGCGGUGAAAUGCGUAGAUAUCACGAAGAACACCGAUUGCGAAGGCAGCUCACUGGACUGCAACUGACGCUGAGGCUCGAAAGUGUGGGUAGCAAACAGGAUUAGAUACCCCAGUAGUC
rnacentral:rRNA from 1 species